UACAGAGGGGGCAAGCGUUGUUCGGAAUUACUGGGCGUAAAGGGCGCGUAGGUGGCCUUCUAAGUUGAACGUGAAAUCCCUGGGCUCAACCCAGGAACUGCGUCCAAGACUGGGAGGCUUGAAUCCGGGAGAGGGAUGCGGAAUUCCAGGUGUAGCGGUGAAAUGCGUAGAUAUCUGGAGGAACACCGGUGGCGAAGGCGGCAUCCUGGACCGACACUGACGCUGAGGAGCGAAAGCCAGGGGAGCAAACGGG
rnacentral:rRNA from 1 species